AGGACACCAUCCGUUCUUUUUCAGGGGAAUUUCGGUGAGAACCCGAAGCUGACCCGCAACCGUAUUAUGCAAUCGCUUUCACCAGGUAUUGCAUUAAGCCGGAUCACCUGAAUAAGAAAUGAGUGGCUCCAAACCGUCGAGGAUUACGGUUCUGAAGCCCGU
rnacentral:sRNA from 2 species